AGUUUGUUUUUGUUCUUUCCUAAAUAAUUUAUUGUUGCCAGUAAAUAUUAACAUUUAACUAUGCACCCCUAUUUGCAAGUUUUGCAAGAUUUUCCAAACAUCAAAUGUGACAAAAAUAAACAUUUUUCUUUUUCUUUUCUUUUCUUUUCUUUUCUUUUGAAGGUAUUGAUCUCCAACCCAGAAUUUUCUUACAUAUUUUUGCAACUCUUGCUGUUAAGUUAGUAUGGCUUAAGAAUGAUACAAAGUGUUCAAGUUCAACUCUCCAAGUUGAAGAGUUACCCAAAUGUCAUAAAUGAAAGUAAAGGUCUCUAUGAAGCAGGCUACUCCAGAGUCUAGGAUGUGGAACAAUGGAUUCAUGCUACAGAGAUUUCACCUAAACAUUAGGAAGACCUUUCUGAUGAGGCCUCUUCAGGCGAAGAAAAGGAGUGAUGCCAGAAGCAGAAGUGAAUGGUAACCAUAUUAUGUCAGAAGCAGAGCAUGGUUUAUCACAGGCAGCACUUGCAGAACUGGAGGACAAAAUGGAGUCCUGACACGCCGUCAUGCAUUGACCAUUCAAAUGCCAUGAACAGAAAUGGCAAAAACACUCGUCUCUGCUUUAUGUAAACUCUGCCCAGUUAAGAGGUCAGCUGGAGUAAAUUAUUGCUGGUUAUAAAUUAACUCAACCAAAGCUUUCUGGUGCUGUGUAAAGUAGGAGUAGAUACAAUGCUUCUUGGUGACCUGGUUGUAUCCCCUGGGUUAUUUGUAUCUCUGACCUUCAUUUCUCUGACAAUUUCCUUCCUGGUUUUUGUUUGGGAUGAUAUGCUUAAUUUGAUUUAUGACUGCUUGGAUUAUGCAUCUGCUUCCAUGAACUGGCCAAGGUUUGCCUUGGUUGACUGCUAUGGGCUGGAGAUAUAUUCUCCAGAGUGCAUGCUUGUUUUAAAACAGCAAUGAAUGUGUAUCUAUGCAUGCAUUAUUAGUUAUUACAUCUUCCAGCCAAUUCAAGGAAUUUUAUAUGAAUCAUUUAUUUCCUCCUUUAGCCUCACUUAAAAAAAACCUAUGAGGCAGGAUGAACAACAUCCAAGAUCUUCCAGUUCAAACUUCUAGUUCAAUCACUUUUAACCACUGAGUACUUGUAUGUUUAAAUAUAUACCUUGACUUAAGAGUUUGAUUUGUUCUGUGACUGAGCUCUUAACUCAAAAUGCUCUUAUGUCGAAGCAAAUUUCCCAUUGAAAUGCUAUUAAUCCAUUCUGCCCACCACCACCACCACCAACCCCCAUUUGGUUACGUGUCUAAAUAAGAAAAUGUACUUGAUAAAUAACAAACAACAUACGUUCACUGCUGGAAAUACCAACCUUCCAAGCCUUCACUAUUUAUCUGUUAAUGUAUAUAUUUGCUAACCUAGAUUGUAUGUAUAUAUUGAUUUGCCAGUUUGACUGACCUCUUUGGUGUGGGAGUGAUUGUACUGAGCAUGUUCAGACUCAAGACUCCAUUUUGUUAUCAGUAUGUGUUUAGACUUCAAUGGAACAAGUUGUUUAUGGAUUUUAAUGCUAUCAGUCUGCUUUAGACCUCAGUGGAGGUGGAUGCAUGUAUGCUUUUGGACUUCAAUAGAGAUGUAUGAUUUUGGACUUCAGUGAGUACAACUAUACUUUGGACUAUGGACUAUUGAUUAAGAAUGAUACCCUGUGUUCUCAACUUAGAGAAAACACAACCUAUCUAACUGAACUUUAAUAAGAAAUGUACCUGUGUAAUGAAUUAAUACAAGAUGUUUGUGAGUAAACAAGAUAUUUAAAAAAAA